CUCCUACGGGAGGCAGCAGUCGGGAAUAUUGGACAAUGGAGGAAACUCUGAUCCAGCAAUGCCGCGUGUGUGAUGAAGGCCCUAGGGUUGUAAAGCACUUUCAACGGUGAAGAUGAUGACGGUAGCCGUAGAAGAAGCCCCGGCUAACUUCGUGCCAGCAGCCGCGGUAAU
rnacentral:rRNA from 1 species